UUAAGUUCAGCGGGUGGUCCUACUCGAUUUGAGGUCAAGUUGUCAGUAGUUGUCCGAAGACGGUUGGAAGCACAGAGCUCCUGAUCAGCCACCCUCUUUCGAGGUGCCGGCGAAGACACUUAUCACGCCGUACUAUGUCCAACCAAGAGUUGCACUACUGCAUUUGAGGUGAGCCACAGUAAAGCAGCAACACCCAAGUC
rnacentral:misc_RNA from 1 species